GAGCUGCUGAGCAGAAGCUGAAACACAGAAUUCCAAGCGUUGCUGAGACCCACUGACCUGCAGACCUCACGGUGGGUGCCCAGGAUGUUGUCCUACGGAGAGAGGCUGGGGUCCCCUGCUGUCUCCCCACUCCCAGUCCGUGGGGGGCAUGUGAUGCGAGGGACGGCCUUUGCUUACGUGCCCAGCCCUCAGGUCCUACACAGGAUCCCGGGGACCUCUGCCUAUGCCUUCCCCAGCCUGGGCCCUGUGGCCCUUGCCGAGCACACCUGCCCCUGUGGGGAGGUCCUGGAGCGCCAUGAACCACUGCCUGCCAAGCUGGCCCCGGAGGAGGAGCAGAAGCCAGAAUCCAGGCUGGUCCCCAAGCUGCGCCAGACCGGCGCCAUGCUGCUCAAGGUGCCGCUGAUGCUCACCUUCCUCUACCUCUUCGUCUGCUCCCUGGACGUGCUCAGCUCGGCCUUCCAGCUGGCUGGAGGUAGGGCCCGGGUGGAGGAGACCAGGGAGGGAUUCCUGAAGGGCCAUGGACAACACUGGCUCAUGCUCCCCAGGGAAGGUGGCUGGUGACAUCUUCAAGGAUAAUGCCAUCCUGUCCAACCCGGUGGCCGGGCUGGUGGUGGGGAUCCUGGUGACCGUGCUGGUGCAGAGCUCCAGCACCUCCACGUCCAUCAUCGUCAGCAUGGUCUCCUCUGGCUUGCUGGAGGUGAGCUCUGCCAUCCCCAUCAUCAUGGGCUCCAACAUCGGCACCUCUGUCACCAACACCAUCGUGGCCCUGAUGCAGGCGGGGGACAGGACUGACUUCCGGCGGUGAGGGGGGCUGGGGGUUGGGGGCUCGUGCCUGGGGGAGGACAGCCCCAGAUGCCAGGAACCCCAGGUGUGACUGCGCUCUGGCUCCAGCCUGCCUUGCAAUGUGGCCUCCCUGCCCAGGGCCUUCGCAGGGGCCACGGUGCAUGACUGCUUUAACUGGCUGUCAGUGCUGGUCCUGCUGCCCCUGGAGGCUGUCACCAGCUACCUGCACCACAUCACUCGACUUGUGGUGGCCUCCUUCAACAUCCAUGGUGGCCGUGACGCUCCUGACCUGCUCAAGAUCAUCACAGAGCCCUUCACAAAGCUCAUCAUCCAGGUGACAGCAGGGCCUGGCAUGGGGUGAGGGUGGGGGUAGCAAGGGACCCAGCCUCCUUCACUCCCCCUGCCCACAUCUUGCCCACAGCUGGACAAGUCCGUGAUAACCAGCAUUGCCACUGGUGAUGAGUCCCUGAGGAACCACAGUCUCAUCCGGAUCUGGUGCCACCCAGACUCCUUAGAGGCUCCCACUGCCAUGUCCAGAGCAGAGGCCAACUCCAGCCAGACCCUUGGAAAUGCCACCAUGGAGAAAUGCAACCACAUCUUUGUGGACACUGGCCUACCGGACCUGGCUGUGGGGCUCAUCCUGCUGGCAGGAUCCCUGGUGCUGCUGUGCACCUGCCUCAUCCUCCUCGUCAAGAUGCUCAAUUCCCUGCUCAAGGGCCAAGUGGCCAAGGUCAUCCAGAAGGUCAUCAAUACCGACUUCCCUGCCCCCUUCACCUGGGUCACAGGGUACUUUGCCAUGGUGGUGGGCGCCAGCAUGACCUUCGUGGUCCAAAGCAGUUCUGUGUUCACCUCAGCCAUCACCCCACUCAUCGGUCUUGGUGUGAUCAGCAUUGAGAGGGCCUACCCGCUCACACUGGGUUCCAACAUCGGCACCACCACCACGGCCAUCCUGGCUGCCCUGGCCAGCCCCAGGGAGAAGCUGUCCAGCGCUUUCCAGGUGCGCUAGGAGUGUAGCCUCGCCUGGGGCAGGAUGGAGCUGCCUCUGGGGUGUGGGGCCUGACAAAGGUGUGACAACAUGCAACAAAUAUUUUGACUGCCUACUAAGGGCCACCUAAUAUGCUCAAUGAAACCAUUAUGGGCAAAGUAGACCCGAUACCACCCUCGAGACCUUAGCAUCUAAUAGGGAGACACUGCUCAUAAUUAUACCAAUAAAUAGCAGUGAGUCAGA
rnacentral:sRNA from 1 species